rnacentral:rRNA from 1 species
GACGAACGCUGGCGGCGCGCCUAACACAUGCAAGUCGAACGAGCGAGAGAGAGCUUGCUUUCUCGAGCGAGUGGCGAACGGGUGAGUAACGCGUGAGGAACCUGCCUCAAAGAGGGGGACAACAGUUGGAAACGACUGCUAAUACCGCAUAAGCCCACGGCUCGGCAUCGAGCAGAGGGAAAAGGAGCAAUCCGCUUUGAGAUGGCCUCGCGUCCGAUUAGCUAGUUGGUGAGGUAAUGGCCCACCAAGGCGACGAUCGGUAGCCGGACUGAGAGGUUGAACGGCCACAUUGGGACUGAGACACGGCCCAGACUCCUACGGGAGGCAGCAGUGGGGAAUAUUGCACAAUGGGGGAAACCCUGAUGCAGCGACGCCGCGUGGAGGAAGAAGGUCUUCGGAUUGUAAACUCCUGUUGU